GGUUUUGACAGCAGGACGGCGAAGGGAGCGCUUGGAGAGGCUGGAAGCUCGACGUCUUAGGGAGCUGCCUGCGGGCACUGGGUUGACGCCAAGAGGUUGUCGGCAAGGGCAGGGCUCUUGCCCUCUGCUGUACCUAGGCUCUGCAACUGGGGGCUGCGAGCCUUCUGCGGCUCUUUGGUUUCAAGGACACAGCGAGCUGCUCAGGACUUUGGGAGCCAACAUCUGUCUGACUGGUGACGUCAGCAGCCCGUGUAAUCCUCUUGUGCUGAAGGCAGAUGCCUUAUUUGUUUGGCUGGAGCGAGCCAUUAAUCCCUAAUUCUGGAUCAGCAAGCGAGGGGGAAAGACCGGACCGCUCCGACCCACCCCCUCCCUACCCCCACCUCCCACCUUAAAGCACCUUAUACCACGGAAGGCUCUCAGCCUCUUCUUUCCUCUGCGAACGCGCUGAGCAGCGAUUGAAAACGUUUUGGUCCUCUGCAGGUUUGAACAGGGCUAGCAGGUCUCUCUCCGGAUUUCUAGGGCUAUGGCUCCCGAAAUCGUUUCUCUGGACGCGGCAGUAUCCGCAGCGCAUGCACCCUCCUCUGGACUUCCGCAGCCCAGACCUGCGCUUACAGUCAUCGCGCCACCCCCUCCCCCCGGGCUGCGGGCCCCGCGCUCCGUGGGCUCAGGGUCCCCUCCGCGUCCCCCUGAAGCCUGGGGACGGAGGUCGCGACCGGCCGACUGGGGUCCUGUCCUCUUGUCACCUUGUAUCCCUCGCAUGCUCCCUCCCGCCUCGUGUCCCUCUCCCCACCCUCCCCCUCCUCUCUCCCGCCUCCCUAACACUGCGCUUUGAUUCUGUUUUUCAGGGGCGCAUUCUGGGGUCUCUGCGCAAGACCAGCUCUCAGCUCUCUCUCCUUUCCUCGGACUCUGGAGCGGGAGCGGGCCUUUCCCUCGGGUCGACCACGCCGUAGGGGACGCCGUGAAAAGAGCCGUCGCGCCCGCUGCCUCCUGCCCGCUGCGCAGAGGGCUCCGCCCGUAGAGGUCAACUUCCCUCACCCUUUUCUCUCUCCUGCUUGCCCUCCCUCCGCCCGGCCCAGGCGCUUCCAGCCCCAGACUGUGGCCACUGGCUGAGGAGUGCGAGUCGGCUGCGCUGCCCUGAGCCUAAUCCCUCUUCCGGGCCCAGACCCGAGGUCCGCGCUCCUGGGCAGUGGGGAAGCUUUAGUGAGCAGGCUUUUCUCUCCGCAGCAAACUUGUAGCCAGACCAGAUGGGCCGCCCAGCUCUCUCGGGACUAGGCAGGUGCGGAUGAGUUAAUUUUUCCGCAUUACAAAGAAAGAUGACCCAGCCCGCCCUUGGACUCUCUUUUCCCAAAAUCUCCCAACCAAACCCGCGGUAACGUUAUCAAAGGACACAGAGCCCAGGCAUAUCUGUGUGUUUAUCUUACAGGCACACACGCAUGGUUUUCUCUUUUAUAUGCUAGAUUUCAUCCCUGACAGCAGAAAAUGAUUGGCAAUGGUUAUGACGGAGAACAUGCAAUAGCGUGGUCCUUAAAAACCUGCCAUUCCUUACAAGUGCCUUAGAAAGGAUUCAGGGCGAACCAACUGGGUUAAUUGCAUUCAGUAAAAUAACACGAUUACAAAAUUA
ensembl:lncRNA MIR124-2HG MIR124-2 host gene